AGGAAAAACAUGCGCUUUAAUUAUACAGUGUUGUAGACACAGUUUGAAGAAUGGAUACUCAGAUUUUUUUUCAUUUUUCAGAAACAUGAACGCUGGAAGCUGUCAUGUGGGGACAGAGCUGUCUGAAACAAGAGGUUUCUCUGUAUAAUGUCAGGAAUGCGGUCUUUCCUCCAACAUACGUGUCAACAUCAUAAAAACAUGUCCAAACAUGAUCUCCGGAGAAGAGAGAAAAAUGCUCGGUAACCGUACGGGCAAAAGUUCAAGAGUUCAACUCCAGACGUGGGCAAUCCCUCACGACGUGGACAGAUACUGUCAAAGGCCAAAAGUUCAACACAAAGGGGGGCAGUCCCUCACAAUGGGGCGGGUAUGGUCAAAGGUCAACGCA